rnacentral:lncRNA from 1 species
UAAAUUUGUUUAUCAGAUGUUGUUUCGAUGGGUCUUUGCUUAUUUUUGUCAUAAAUUGUAACUCAUAACAAUACAAAAACAGGUCCGCAAUAAGUGGUGCACAGUUAGUUCCCAUUGGAAUUCCGAUAAUCUGACGAUAUACGGAAUCCCCAAAGCGAACAAAAAUGUUAUCUAGUAAAAAUUCAAGGGCAUAUAUAGUAU